rnacentral:rRNA from 1 species
CAGUAGCCACGGUAAUACGAAGGGUGCAAGCGUUAAUCGGAAUUACUGGGCGUAAAGCGUGCGUAGGCGGUGAGUUAAGUCUGCUGUGAAAUCCCCGGGCUCAACCUGGGAAUGGCAGUGGAUACUGGCUCGCUAGAGUGUGUCAGAGGAUGGUGGAAUUCCCGGUGUAGCGGUGAAAUGCGUAGAGAUCGGGAGGAACAUCAGUGGCGAAGGCGGCUUACUGGCUCAUACCGGACGCUGAGGUGCGAAAGCGUGGGGGGCAAACAGGAUUAGAUACCCCCGUAGUCCCUGUCUCUUAUAC